rnacentral:rRNA from 1 species
GACGUAGGGCGCGAGCGUUGUCCGGAUUUAUUGGGCGUAAAGGGCUCGUAGGCGGUUGAUUGCGUCCGCCGUGAAAGGCCUCGGCUUAACCGGGGUUUUGCGGUGGAUACGGGUCGACUUGAGGCAAUUAGGGGAGAUCGGAAUUCUACGUGUAGCGGUGAAAUGCGCAGAUAUGUGGAGGAACACCGGUGGCGAAGGCGGAUCUCUGGGAUUGUUCUGACGCUGAGGAGCGAAAGCGUGGGGAGCGAACAGGAUUAGAAACCCCCGUAGUCC